CACUAGUCUCCUAUUUCAGCACUUCAUGUAUAUACUUUAUUCUUUAACACACUUAUUUUAUAAUUUCAGGUUAUACAGUAUGAUGUUCGAUAAUUCAGCGAUUGAAAGAUUUCAAAAUGAUGAAAAGUUGCAGAAAAUAUUUGAAGAGAAUCAUUCUACAUUAUUACAAUGAUGACAUUGCUAUUUAGUCCAAACAAUAUAUUUUUAUAAUUUAAGUUACUGUGA
rnacentral:lncRNA from 1 species